rnacentral:lncRNA from 1 species
GAACAUUUUGAUGCUAUUGUUUUCAAAUCAUUAGAAAGAGGUUAAACAAAACAGAGUAUUUAUAAAUAAGUACACUGAAUAUCAAUCCAAUAUCCCAAUCUUGAUUUAAAAAAGAGAACUACAAGCAACUAAACUCUUAACGACCUCUAUUCCUUACGAGAAUGAAUGCUUUAUCAUUAUUGCCAAUAAUGCAAUUAUUCUCCGAUGAAUCCACAAUGCAUUGAUGUAAAUUAAUUGAUAUGCUACCCUGACUUGCAAUUAGUUAACCUCAUUAUCUCUGGAGGCUAUUAGAAAAAUUUAGCAUUUGUUGCCGUUUUUUCUCGAAAGUCAAAAGAAUCAUCAAAAAUAUUAUUUUAGAUAUUUUUACGGCUGGAUGCAUAGACAAUCUCCUGUCAGUGACGGCGAACUUGGUUAUGUGGACAGUGACGGCGAACUUGGUUAGGGGGUAGCACGGGACGUGCUCGG